UCCCUUGUCGAUUUAUCAAUUUUUAAAGAGAAAAAGAAAUGUCAGACAAAAAGUUAUUGGAAUAAAAGCUCAAAAUAAUCGAUGAGGAUCGUUUUCGACGUAAACCCUUCAAUUUUCUUCGCUAAAAGGUGACGACGAAUGAGAAAGCUUAUCAACACCUAGCCUAGAACACACACUCUUCGCUCAUGGAACACACGGACUCUAGAAGCUGCUCAUAGUUGCCUAAUUAAGCGGGUAGUCGCUUAAACCAAUGGUACCCGAGAGAUGGCGACACACCUAACCUCGCAAUGUCGUCGUGGACGAUGCAUGUAAUAGCCGUGGUGCGCUACUAACAAGUUUAUGGCACCGAAUUGAUUGGAGUAGAGGUUUACGAUGGUUUUAUACCCGACCUGUCUCGCGUCGAUACGGUUGCAUCCGAGACUGUUCGAAUUUUAAACGAGUUUAGAACCCCCUCUCCCCCUCCGUGAUCUAUAGGCGCGAAUGAAGAUCUUCGACGAGAAAUAGCAAGAGAAGUGCGGCAUUAUGUGGGACCCCC